CACUAUGCCUAGCCUUAAACAUUGAUGAUAACUUACAAUUGCCAUCCGCCUGGGGACUACGAGCACCAGCUUAAAACCCAAAGGACUUGGCGGUGCUUUAGACCCACCUAGAGGAGCCUGUUCUAGAACCGAUAACCCCCGUUCAACCUCACCCUUCCUUGUUCUUCCCGCCUAUAUACCACCGUCGUCAGCUUACCCUGUGAAGGGCUAAUAGUAAGCAAAACUGGCAAAGCCCAAAACGUCAGGUCGAGGUGUAGCGUAUGGAAGGGGAAGAAAUGGGCUACAUUCACUAACUCAGUGUACACGAAUGACACCCUGAAACACGUGUCUGAAGGAGGAUUUAGCAGUAAGUAGAAAAUAGAGUGUUCUACUGAAACUGGCCCUGAAGCGCGCACACACCGCCCGUCACUCUCCCCGAGCUAAGACUCUCAAGUAAAUAAACAACUACAACUGCAAAGGGGAGGCAAGUCGUAA
rnacentral:rRNA from 1 species